ensembl:lncRNA novel transcript, antisense to ACTN4
CCCUCAACCCGAAGAGGCAAAGCCCUCUCUACUCUGGGGCGCUGAUUAAGAAACAAACAUUCGGCAGACACAGGGCAACCGAGUGGUUCCAGUGGGCAGAGCGAUGGCCCUGUGUGAGCUACUUCACAUGGUUCCUCUCAUUUGAUCUACUCUAAGGAAGACACAAAACCAAGGGCAGUCCCAGGAGGUCCUUGGCAGAUUCCAGCAGCCACAGUGCAGCAGGCCCCAUGCUGAGCCACUGG